rnacentral:lncRNA from 1 species
AUGGGGCAUCCCAGAGCGUCUCUGGGGUUAAUCCUGGGCUCUGUGGGCUCAAUUCUGGGGUUGAUCCUGGGGUUAAUCCUAAAAUUGAUCCUGGUUUCCCUGGGGUUGAUCCUGGGCUCAAUCCUGGCCUUUCUGGGGUUGAUCCUAGGGUUGAUCCUGGGUUCUCUGGGGUUAAUCCUGGGCUCAGUCCUGAGCUCCAUCCUGGGGCUCUCUGGGGUUGAUCCUGGGCUCAAUCCCUGGCUCAGUCUUGGAGUUGAUCCUGGGCUUGGCUCAAUCCUGGAGUUGAUCCUGGCCUUUCUGGGCUCAAUCCUGGUCUCUGGGGUUGAUCCUGGGUUCCCUGGGGUCAAUCCCGAUCUCCCUGGGCUGAUCCUGGGGUUGGUCCUGGGGCUCUCUGGAGCUGAUCCUGGGCUUAGUCCUGGGGUUGAUCCUGGUCUCCAUCCUGGCCUUUCUGGGCUUCAUCCUGGGGUUAAUCCCGAUCUCCCUGGGGUUUAUCCCGAUCUCCCUGGGGUUUAUCCUCAGUUCCCUGGGGUUAAUCCUGAUCUCCCUGGGGCUGAUCCUGGGGUUGAUCCUGGGCUUAAUCCCUGGUUCCAUCCUGGUCUGGCUGGGCUCAGUCCUGGGGUUGAUCCUGGUCUCCCUGGGGUUCAUCCUAGUCUCAAUCCUGGCCUUUCUGGGCUCGAUCCUGGGUUAAUCCUGGGAUCCCUGGGGUUAAUCUCGAUCUCCCUGAGCUCAAUCCUGGUCACUGUGGUUGAUCCUGGGUUCUCUGGGGUUGAUCCUGGGUUCCAAGUGGUUAAUCCCAAUCUCUCUGGGGCUCAUCCUGGGAUCCCUGGGGUUAAUCCUGGGGUUGGUCCUGGGUUCUCUGGAGUUAAUCCUGGGCUCAAUCCUGGCCUCUCUGGGCUUGAUCCUUGGGUUGAUCCCCGGUUCCCUGGGGUUAAUCCUGAUCUCCCUGGGCUCAAUCCUGGAUUCCCUGGGGUUGAUCCUGGGUUCCAAGGGGUUAAUCCUGAUCUCCCUGGGGUUGAUCCUGGGCUCAAUCCCAAUCUCCCUGGGGUUGAUCCUCGGUUCCUUGGGGUUAGUCCUGGGUUCCCUGGGGGUAAUCCUGAUCUCCCUGGGCUCAAUCCUGGUCUCUGUGCUUGA